rnacentral:lncRNA from 1 species
AGAAGACCCGACCGUCCUGGGAAUCGUGUGAUGUUGGGAGGUUACUGGUUACAGAAGCUGAAAGCCAAUGGCCAUGAAUUGUCUCCAGAGCUAUUCCAACGAGCAGCACAGGAAGCGGCUGCCACACAGUUAGGACUGAAAGAGCAACCAAGCCAUUGCUUGGUCCAUCUACACAAAGUGAGUUGAGAUAAAUUCUUAUUCAUUUCCCACCGAAAGCCUUGAAAGUGAAGACGGGCAUGUUAACCAAGCCAAGGCCUUGGAAAUCAUUAAUAAACUUUCCCUUGCAUCUUA